UAAACUCAGGAUUAAAAGAGGGGGAGUACUUGUGGCACCUUGGAGACUGGCAGGUUUGUUGGAGCGUGGGCUUUCGUGGGCUGCAGCUCGCUUCGUCGGGUGCGUUUGGUGGAGGAGGCGGAGGAGAGAUUUAUGUACGCACGCACGCAGAGAGCAUGAAACAAUGGGUUUAUCACACACACUGCAGGAUGGGCCCAUUGUUUCGUGUUCUCUGUGUGUGUGUGUGUGUGUGUGUGUAGGUCUCUCCUCUGUUUUUUCUGCCGGGUGCGUCCGGUGGGGUGGGCUGUGGCUCGCGGGGGCUUGUGCUCUGGUAGAUUUGUUGGUCUCUGGGGUGCCACAGGUACUCCUUUUCUUUUUGCGAACACAGACUAACACGGCUGCUACUCUGAAACAGGCCAGGAUUUGUGAAUUCAAUCCU